rnacentral:rRNA from 1 species
CAGUAGCCGCGGUAAUACGGGGGGGGCAAGUGUUAUUCGGAAUGACUGGGCGUAAAGGGCACGUAGGCGGUGAAAAGGGUGGAAAGUGAAAGUCGCCAAAACACUGGCGGGGUGCUUUCUUGACCAUUUCACUUGAGUGAGAUAGGGGAGAGUGGAAUUUCGUGUGGAGGGAUCAAAUCCUAAGAUAUACGAAGGAACGCCAACCGCGAAGGCAGCUCUCUGGGUCCCCACUGACGCUGGGGUGCGAAAGCAUGGGGAGCAAACAGGAUCAGAUACCCGCGUAGUCCCUGUCUCUUAUACA